UGGGGAAUAUUAGACAAUGGGGGAAACCCUGAUCUAGCCAUGCCGCGUGAGUGAAGAAGGCCCUAGAGUUGUAAAGCUCUUUCAGAUGUGAGGAUGAUGACAGUAGCAUCAGAAGAAGCCCCGGCUAACUUCGUGCCAGCAGCCGCGGUAAUACGAAGGGGGCUAGCGUUGUUCGGAAUUACUGGGCGUAAAGGGCGCGUAGGCGGAUUGAUCAGUUUGGUGUGAAAGCCCGGGGCUCAACCUCGGAACUGCACUGAAUACUGUCAAUCUAGAAUCCCGGAGGGGAGUGUGGAAUUUCUAGUGUAGAGGUGAAAUUCGUAGAUAUUAGAAAGAACACCGGUGGCGAAGGCGACACUCUGGACGGGUAUUGACGCUGAGGCGCGAAAGCGUGGGGAGCAAACAGG
rnacentral:rRNA from 1 species